rnacentral:lncRNA from 1 species
UGAUAUUGAUAUUGAUGAUUUACUCCAUAUUCUUUAUGUUGAGUUCAUGUUCAUCUUGUUAUUGAUCUUGAGAUUUCACCUCGAGCCAUGAUUAUAUCGUCUCAUGUGCAUAGUACUCUCUACUCCACUCACUGAGUAUUUAUAUACUCACUCCCCAGUUUGGUGUUUUUGAUUGCAGGGCAGGUAUUGUAUAGAGAAGAGCAGGGUUAGAGAUUACCUGCUAGCUGUGCCGCUUCAUAGUAUAGUCUAGUAUAAUGUAGAUAGAGGUUUAUACCCUUUUGGUGUAUUAUAAACCUUCUGUUAUAUAUAGUGUAUAGUUACAGUCAUAGAUCCUGUUGUGGAUAUGGGUUUGACCAUGGAUGGAAUGGGAACCAGAUUUUUAUACAGAUGAGUUAUAUGCCUGUGAUGAUGUAUUGAUAUAUAUUGUCCAGGUUCAUUUUGUGACAGGUUAUGUGAUUGCUGCUCUGAUAGGUAGUGUUGUUGUAUGUAAUGAGAUAAUCCUGACAGGUCACCAUAGGAAAGGUGAUCAUUUUGUGCAUACAUCAUGCCAAAAUUUUUCAGAAUUUAUUGAUGAUUGAUAGGUAGUAGGGUUCUACGUGGUAGCUGGUGGCCUUAUGCCUACCCGCACCCUAGAACCGUCGCGGCAGCCCACCGGAAACGGAGUGGGGGUCGUGACAAGAAGUGGUAUCAGAGCAAAGGUUAAGAAGAGUCCUGUCAGAGCAAUAGGGUGAGUCAGGAUUAAGUAUAGGAUUAUACUAUGGAGCAUAGGAUUUUUCUAUAUGUUAUUUUAUGAGUCAUAUACAAUUCUGUAAAAUAUAUUUGGGGAUGAGACUUAAGAGUUCUUUUUGGCUCUACUUGAGACAAAAUUGUAUAUCAUUCAAUUUACAAUCAAGAUUUAUAUUUUGACAGAAAGUCAAUUAAUAAAUUCGGAGGAUAUGGAUCAGAGUUGUGUAGCGAAAGUAUAGUGGAUCGAAUCAAUUUAAAUUGGUCAAAAAUAUUG